rnacentral:rRNA from 1 species
GACGAACGCUGGCGGCGUGCUUAACACAUGCAAGUCGAACGGACAGGCCCUGCUUUUGUGGGGUGCUCGAGUGGCGAACGGGUGAGUAACACGUGAGUAACCUGCCCUUGUAUUUGGGAUAACUUCUGGAAAAUGGGGCUAAUACCGGAUAGGAGCUCCUGCUGCAUGGGGGGGGUUGGAAAGAUUCGGCGGUUGGGGAUGGACUCGCGGGUUAUCAGCUUGUUGGUGGGGUAGUGGCUUACCAAGGUUUUGAAGGGUAGCCGGCCUGGGAGCGUGGCCGGCCACAUUGGGACUGAGAGACGGCCCAGACGGCUACGGGAGGCAGCAGUGGGGAAUAUGGCACAGUGGGCGGAAGCCUGAUGCAGCAACGCCGCGUGCGGGAUGACGGCCUUCGGGUUGUAAACCGCUUUCGCCUGUGACGAAGCGUGCGUGACGGUAAUGGGUAAAGAAGCACCGGCUAACUACGUG